GGGAAUAUUGCGCAAUGGAGGAAACUCUGACGCAGCGACGCCGCGUGGGUGAUGAAGGCUUUCGGGUCGUAAAGCCCUGUCGAAAGGGAAGAAAAACGGUACGGCUAACAUCCGUACCGCUUGACGGUACCUUUAGAGGAAGCACCGGCUAACUACGUGCCAGCAGCCGCGGUAAUACGUAGGGUGCAAGCGUUGUUCGGAAUCAUUGGGUGUAAAGCGCGUGUAGGUGGCUUGUUAAGUCGAUUGUGAAAUCCCUGGGCUCAGCCGAGGAAGUGCAUUCGAAACUAGCUAGCGAGAGGACGGCAGAGGAAGGUGGAAUGCCAAGUGUAGAGGUGAAAUUCGUAGAUAUUUGGCGGAAUACCGGUGGCGAAGGCGGCCUUCUGGACCGUUCCUGACACUGAGACGCGAAAGCGUGGGGAGCAAAC
rnacentral:rRNA from 1 species